UGGUGGAGUGAUUUGUCUGCUUAAUUGCGAUAACGAACGAGACCUUAACCUGCUAAAUAGCCCGUAUUGCUCUGGCAGUACGCUGGCUUCUUAGGGGGACUAUCGGCUCAAGCCGAUGGAAGUUUGAGGCAAUAACA
rnacentral:rRNA from 1 species